CCCACGCAAUCUGAGCCUGCUUUUUCCAACUCUUCCUAACCAUUAUCCCUGCUCAACCUAUAUCUUAGGGUGGCUUUUAGGUUUUUUAAUCCAUGGUCUGAAUUACCAAAAAAUCCAAAAUUGGAACAAAGCUUUGCUUGCUGUUGUGAUACUGCAAUUUUUUCUUAGUAUUGGCUUCUAGCUGCGUGGACAUGCAAAGACAUAUGAAUAAGAUUUAGGAUUGUCUGAUUUACACAGAAAAGAUUUAGAUUGUCUAAUUUAUAGAAAACAGGCUUUGGGUGAUCAUUGUACUAGCCUCGGCCUAUAUCUUGAGAUGAACCAAAUCUUCUAUUUUGCUUCUAUUUCCUUUUGCAGCCAUGUGGAUGGAAAAAAUGAAAAAACAAAAAAGAGUUUUGGACAGUCUACUUUCUAGGCAACCACCUCUUGGUGUUCACAGUUCCUUGCUCAACCUAUAUCUUAAGGUUUCAUAGAAAUAAUAUCUGAGCCUCACUACAUUUUAUAUGUUUUCCUAUUUUUUUAUUGUUGCCUGUGUUCUUAUUUUAAAUUCAGCUAAUGCUUCUCUGGCCUAUGAAUGCAAAUAAGGAUUCUAAAUCCUGAAUUUAAGUUACAGAAUUCAAUACCUAGCUGAAUGGUUUCUACGGUGUGCAUGUGGACUUUUAUGCAUUUAGCAUUACUAACCAAGUAGUCUGAUUCUGAAUUUUUUACUUGAGUUCUGAAUAGGAUACCUGAAUUCUGACUUAACUAAGUGAAUGCUACAUUCGAAAUUGAGAAUUUGGAAUUUAGGAGUGCAUGGAACUAUUUGCUGUCCAUAACAGUUUCGGAUUCAGAGAUCUUUGAAUAGCAACAAGUGUUUUGGUCCAUAGAUGUUUCUCUGCCCUCAGACCAGGUUCGAAUCCAUAUGAUGGAGCCUGUGUUUUGGUCCAUAUGAUGUUUCUUUAUUAGCUGAAGACCAUAUAGAUUAUCGAUUACCUAGAUCGUUCUGAGUUCUAGAAUCUGUUACCUUAAGUAGUGAAUAUGAAUUCUAAACAAAGUAUAUUUGUUUUCCUUAUAUUCUGCGUGAAAUUCGAAAUUGCAUUGUUGAAUUAUGGACUCCCAUGCUAUGAUGACCUACUCCUCAAAUACCAAAUGGUUGCUGAAUUAUGGAUUCCCAUACUUUCGGUAUACAAGUGGGUCUUUAUGCAGUUGACAUUACUAACCAAGCAGGCUUUGGUUCCAAAGUGAUAAUAUUUGAUAACUGGGAGAGUCUGAGCAAACCAUAUAUCUUUUUCGUAUACCUAAAUUCUGACUUAUCUACGUGAAUACUAAAUUCGGAAUUGAGAAAUUAGAAUUUAGAGUUGCGUCGGGCUAUUUUUUGUGUAUGAAAGUUUUGAAUUCAAAAAUCUGAUUUGAAUCACAACAAGUCUUUUGAUCCAUAUGAAAGGUUCGAAUUCAAAAUGUUGAAUUCUGGCAGCAGUGUUCCAGAAUUCUAAAUUCUGGAUACUCAAAGGUUAGAAUUACACAAAAAAAAUAUUAAAAAUUAGAAUUUCAGCCAUAGAAUUCCAAAUUCUGAACUGUGCCUUGCAGGAUUCAGAAUACAAACCUUAAAAGGUUAACGGUUAAAAGAGUAAAUCGUUUGCAACUUGACUAUUUAUCUAGGUCUCCAAUACAGGUAUUUUUUCUCAUCGUUUUGUUUUCACCCUGCUUGCUUCUCAUUUUUUUUUGUUUUUUACACUAUAUCCAGCCCUUUGUUUGCAAAAUUGCUGCACAAAGAUGUGAUCCUUUGUUCACUCUUUAUUUGCAGCAUGGCUAUUUAUCUAUAUCUCUUUAUUUGCAACUUUACUAUUUAUCUAUGUCUAAAAUACAAGUAUUGUUUCUCAUCUUUUUGUUUUUACCUACUUAUCAUCUUUUUGUUUUUUGCACUACUUACACGUACACUUAAGAGGUUGUAUUUUGGAAUUGCCUUGCGAAUUGCAGGGCCCUAUAUGUACCUGAUAUUCAAAAAUUUAGAUCAAGCAUACCAUCCUUUAAAGUUGGCAAGAUGUUUUCCCAAUUUCUAAAUAACAAAGGCAAGUCCCCUGUGGCGAAACGUCUGCUUAUCAAAUGUGAAGAACAUCCUCAUUCCCCUUGAUACGAGCAACCAAAUUUGUAAAUAAUUAUUUAUAGAAGCAUCCCCAAGUACACAGGCGUCAACUGGCUCUGAACAAUUUACCGAGGACUUAUCUGAAAUGCAACCUGCCGAAAGACAACGACUUGAUCCAACCUAUCUUGCAUUUGAUGAAGCUUCUCAAGAAGAUCAAGUCAAGAAAUGAAGAAUUGCAGUUUACGUUUCAGUCCAUUUAUAUAUUUCUAUUUAUAAUUAGAUGCUUUGUUAUCCACUGUUUUAACUAUUUUAAUAACAGUUCUACUUACAUUUUCUUUGUUCUAUUGUUUGUUUUGUAAGGACUAAAUUAUUAUAUCAGUUCUACUUAGAUUUA